UACGUAGGGUGCGAGCGUUGUCCGGAAUUAUUGGGCGUAAAGGGCUCGUAGGCGGUCUGUUGUGUCGGGAGUGAAAACUCAGGGCUUAACCCUGAGCCUGCUUCCGAUACGGGCAGACUAGAGGUAUGCAGGGGAGAACGGAAUUCCUGGUGUAGCGGUGAAAUGCGUAGAGAUCAGGAGGAACACCGAUGGCGAAGGCAGCUCUCUGGGUCGGCCCUGACGCUGAGGCGCGAAAGCGUGGGGAGCGAACGGG
rnacentral:rRNA from 1 species